rnacentral:tRNA from 1 species
GCAGGCGUGGCGGAAUUGGUAGACGCGCGGGAUUUAGGUUUCCGUAUCUUCGGUUGUGAGAGUUCGAGUCUCUCCGCCUGUA